rnacentral:rRNA from 1 species
UGAAACUGCGAAUGGCUCAUUAAAUCAGUUAUCGUUUAUUUGAUAGUACCUUACUACAUGGAUAACCGUGGUAAUUCUAGAGCUAAUACAUGCUAAAAACCCCGACUUCGGGAGGGGUGUAUUUAAAAGAUAAAAAACCAAUGCCCUUCGGGGCUCAAUGGUGAAUCAUAAUAACUUAACGAAUCGCAUGGCCUUGCGCCGGCGAUGGUUCAUUCAAAUUUCUGCCCUAUCAACUUUCGAUGGUAGGAUAGUGGCCUACCAUGGUAUCAACGGGUAACGGGGAAUUAGGGUUCUAUUCCGGAGAGGGAGCCUGAGAAACGGCUACCACAUCCAAGGAAGGCAGCAGGCGCGCAAAUUACCCAAUCCCGACACGAGGAGGUAGUGACAAUAAAUACUGAUACAGGGCUCUUUUGGGUCUUGUAAUUGGAAUGAGUACAAUUUAAAUACCUUAACGAGGAACAAUUGGAGGGCAAGUCUGGUGCCAGCAGCCGCGGUAAUUCCAGCUCCAAUAGCGUAUAUUAAAGUUGUUGCAGUUAAAAAGCUCGUAGUUGAACCUUGGGCCUGGCUGGCCGGUCCGCCUCACCGCGUGUACUGGUCCGGCCGGGCCUUUCCUUCUGGGGAACCGCAUUACCUUCACUGGGCGUGUGUGGGAACCAGGACUUUUACCGUGAAAAAAUUAGAGUGUUCAAAGCAGGCCUUUGCUCGAAUACAUUAGCAUGGAAUAAUAGAAUAGGACGUGUGGUUCUAUUUUGUUGGUUUCUAGGACCGCCGUAAUGAUUAAUAGGGAUAGUCGGGGGCAUCCGUAUUCAAUUGUCAGAGGUGAAAUUCUUGGAUUUAUUGAAGACGAACU